GAUGAACGCUAGCGGGAGGCCUAACACAUGCAAGCCGAGCGGUAUUGUUUCUUCGGAAAUGAGAGAGCGGCGUACGGGUGCGGAACACGUGUGCAACCUGCCUUUAUCUGGGGGAUAGCCUUUCGAAAGGAAGAUUAAUACUCCAUAACAUAUUGAUUGGCAUCAAUUAAUAUUGAAAGCUCCGGCGGAUAGAGAUGGGCACGCGCAAGAUUAGCUAGUUGGUGAGGUAACGGCUCACCAAGGCGAUGAUCUUUAGGGGGCCUGAGAGGGUGAUCCCCCACACUGGUACUGAGACACGGACCAGACUCCUACGGGAGGCAGCAGUGAGGAAUAUUGGUCAAUGGGUGCAAGCCUGAACCAGCCAUCCCGCGUGAAGGACGACUGCCCUAUGGGUUGUAAACUUCUUUUGUAUAGGGAUAAACCUACCCUCGUGAGGGUAGCUGAAGGUACUAUACGAAUAAGCACCGGCUAACUCCGUGCCAGCAGCCGCGGUAAUACGGAGGGUGCAAGCGUUAUCCGGAUUUAUUGGGUUUAAAGGGUCCGUAGGCGGACUUAUAAGUCAGUGGUGAAAGCCUGUCGCUUAACGAUAGAACUGCCAUUGAUACUGUAAGUCUUGAGUAUAUUUGAGGUAGCUGGAAUAAGUAGUGUAGCGGUGAAAUGCAUAGAUAUUACUUAGAACACCAAUUGCGAAGGCAGGUUACCAAGAUAUAACUGACGCUGAGGGACGAAAGCGUGGGGAGCGAACAGGAUUAGAUACCCUGGUAGUCCACGCCGUAAACGAUGCUAACUCGUUUUUGGGCUUUAGGGUUCAGAGACCAAGCGAAAGUGAUAAGUUAGCCACCUGGGGAGUACGCUCGCAAGAGUGAGACUCAAAGGAAUUGACGGGGGCCCGCACAAGCGGUGGAUUAUGUGGUUUAAUUCGAUGAUACGCGAGGAACCUUACCAAGACUUAAAUGGGAAUUGACAGCUUUAGAAAUAGAACUUUCUUCGGACAAUUUUCAAGGUGCUGCAUGGUUGUCGUCAGCUCGUGCCGUGAGGUGUUAGGUUAAGUCCUGCAACGAGCGCAACCCCUGUCACUAGUUGCCAUCAUUCAGUUGGGGACUCUAGUGAGACUGCCUACGCAAGUAGAGAGGAAGGUGGGGAUGACGUCAAAUCAUCACGGCCCUUACGUCUUGGGCCACACACGUAAUACAAUGGCCGGUACAGAGGGCAGCUACACAGCGAUGUGAUGCAAAUCUCGAAAGCCGGUCUCAGUUCGGAUUGGAGUCUGCAACUCGACUCUAUGAAGCUGGAAUCGCUAGUAAUCGCGCAUCAGCCAUGGCGCGGUGAAUACGUUCCCGGGCCU
rnacentral:rRNA from 1 species